AAUAAGUGAUGACAAAAUGUUUCGGUCCCAGAUGAUGUCCAGUGAUAACACUGUUAUCAUUUUUCUGAUGUU